rnacentral:rRNA from 1 species
CCGGCCUUGACAUCCCCACGGAUGCAGGGCAAUGCCUGCAGCCUUUCGGGGCGUGGGAGACAGGUGGUGCAUGGUUGUCGUCAGCUCGUGUCGUGAGAUGUUGGGUUAAGUCCCGCAACGAGCGCAACCCUUACGCGCAGUAGCCAGCAGGUAAAGCUGGGGACUCUGCGGGGACAGCCUGGGACAACCAGGAGGAAGGCGGGGACGACGUCAAAUCAUCAUGCCCCUUAUGGCCGGGGCUACACACGUGCUACAAUGGCGCAUACAGAGGGAGGCGAACCCGCGAGGGGGAGCAGACCCCAGAAAAGGCGCCCCAGUUCGGAUUGCAGCCUGCAACUCGGCUGCAUGAAGCCGGAAUCGCUAGUAAUCGCGGAUCAGAAUGCCGCGGUGAAUACGUUCCC